UAAUGGCUCACCAAGGCGACGAUCCCUAGCUGGUCUGAGAGGAUGAUCAGCCACACUGGAACUGAGACACGGUCCAGACUCCUACGGGAGGCAGCAGUGGGGAAUAUUGCACAAUGGGCGCAAGCCUGAUGCAGCCAUGCCGCGUGUGUGAAGAAGGCCUUCGGGUUGUAAAGCACUUUCAGCAGUGAGGAAGGCGGGUACGUUAAUAGCGUGNUCGUUUGACGUUAGCUGCAGAAGAAGCACCGGCUAACUCCGUGCCAGCAGCCGCGGUAAUACGGAGGGUGCGAGCGUUAAUCGGAAUUACUGGGCGUAAAGCGCAUGCAGGUGGUUCGUUAAGUCAGAUGUGAAAGCCCGGGGCUCAACCUCGGAACUGCAUUUGAAACUGGCGGACUAGAGUACUGUAGAGGGGGGUAGAAUUUCAGGUGU
rnacentral:rRNA from 1 species